CCAGACUCCUACGGGGGCAGCAGUGGGGAAUAUUGCACAAUGGGCGAAAGCCUGAUGCAGCAACGCCGCGUGAGGGACGACGGCCUUCGGGUUGUAAACCUCUUUUAGCAGGGAAGAAGCGAAAGUGACGGUACCUGCAGAAAAAGCGCCGGCUAACUACGUGCCAGCAGCCGCGGUAAUACGUAGGGCGCAAGCGUUAUCCGGAAUUAUUGGGCGUAAAGAGCUCGUAGGCGGUUUGUCGCGUCUGCUGUGAAACCCCGAGGCUCAACCUCGGGCCUGCAGUGGGUACGGGCAGACUAGAGUGCGGUAGAGGAGAUUGGAAUUCCUGGUGUAGCGGUGGAAUGCGCAGAUAUCAGGAGGAACACCGAUGGCGAAGGCAGAUCUCUGGGCCGUAACUGACGCUGAGGAGCGAAAGGGUGGGGAGCAAACAGGCUUAGAUACCCUGGUAGUCCACCCCGUAAACGUUGGGAACUAGUUGUGGGGUCCAUUCCACGGAUUCCGUGACGCAGCUAACGCAUUAAGUUCCCCGCCUGGGGAGUACGGCCGCAAGGCUAAAACUCAAAGGAAUUGACGGGGGCCCGCACAA
rnacentral:rRNA from 1 species